GAUGAAGAACGCAGCGAAAUGCGAUAAGUAAUGUGAAUUGCAGAAUUCAGUGAAUCAUCGAAUCUUUGAACGCACCUUGCACCCUUUGGUAUUCCGAAGGGUAUGCUCGUUUGAGUGUCAUUGUACUCUCACACUUCUAAUUCCUUUCGGGAUUGGGAGCGGUGGACUUGGGUGUUGCUGCUUUAGUUGUGGCUCACCUCAAAUAAGUUAGUGCAACUCUUGGUUGGACAUAGUACGGCGUGAUAAGUGUCUUCGCCGGCGCCUCUGUAAGGCGGGUGGCCGAUCGGGAGCUCUGUGCUUCAAACCGUCUUCGGACAAUCUUUGACAACUUGACCUCAAAUCGAGUAGGACUACCCGCUGAACUUAAGCAUAUCAAUAAGCGGAGGA
rnacentral:misc_RNA from 1 species